AUGGUAGUGGUCCAAUGGUUAAGAUACCAGCCUGUGGAGCCGGUGACGCGGGUCCGAUUCCCGCCUACCAUC
rnacentral:tRNA from 1 species